GAAAGAGUGAGUGCCAGACAAACCAAGGUCAGCAGUGGUAGACCCUAGAGACAGAGGUGCUGGAGGAAGACCAGAAAAGCUGUGCCAACUGGAGAACAAUAAAAGGCUACCAGAAGCAGAUGCCAUUGGCCAACCACCACCUGCCAUGUUCUUGUCAUUUCCCCUGUGCUACAACUUGCCAGGUGGUCCCCAAGCUAUGAAACAUACAUUAGGGUAUUCAGAUAUUUCAUACAACUCUUCAGGCUUGCUGUAAAUGUUAUGUGACCAGCCAGUCCUUUGUUCUUAUACUGAAGAGUUAAAUUUCAAAAAGUUAGUCUCAAACAAAGUCCAGACAUGCCUGAGAGAAUUUGAGAUAGGGCUUACCGGCCCGACUAUCAGCUCCCAAGGACACUGGCCACCUGGAGCCACCCCCUCCCCUUCCUUCACUCCCUGAGGAUGGGUCAUCCCCCUGCUGCAGUGAGAUGAGUUGCCCUGCCCACAUUGCUGAGAUGCUAGAUUACACGUAUGCUUUGUUGAUGUAACUCCGUGCCAAAAGUAACUGUGCACCCUUUGUAUUAGCCAAUUAUGUGUAUCCACACGAACCCCCGGUUUUCCCUAUAUAAGCUCCUGCCUAGAGAGGCUCGGGGCUUGACUCAAUCUCCUGUGUGGGAUACGUGUCAGCCCGAGAUCUCGUAAAUAAAACUGCCUCUUGCUGAUUACAUCAAGACCGGCUACUCAUGUUUCCUGGGGGUACCCCAACCCGUGACUGGAGCGAGAGUCUCCCCAAGUUUGGGGGUCUUUCAUUGGGGGCUCGUCCAGGAUAGGAGCGUGACCCCCGGAGACUCGAAUGCCUCUUGGAGCUUUUGCCUCGGGUAUAUAAGGAGAUCCCAGUAAAGCCUUAGUGGCACUCGCUGAAAACGAGUGACCCAUGUACGUGUUUUCUUUCAACCCUGCAGAUCUACGCCCGAUAUUCACACACUGGCGGCAUAGGCGCAGACAGCAGAGAGGACAAAGGACCAGAGUGGCAAGCAAUCCAGUUGUGCUGAGUUCCUUGUCAUAAAGAAAGCCUUACUUACCCAAUCUGAGCAGCAUGACGCUUAGGUUGCUCACAGAACAGAAACCAUCUUUUGCUGUUUCUGGGAUUGUUGAAGUAAGCUAUCAACAUCAUCAGAGACCCAUGACCUUUCUCUCCUUUUUGUUGCAUACUGUCUGGGUGUUAGGAAACCACCCAUCUUUUCCUAAACAGCUACACUGACGGUACAAGGAAGGUUUAGUUCAAUGUAUAUUUUGAGGAGCAAAAUACUUGCCAGAAGUUUGUUAAGCUAAUGUCCAUAUAAGUCUCACUGUCAGGAAACAGACCAAAGCCCUUCCUGAACUAAUGGCCAGUGAAGAAAACUGACAUGUGCAGCUGCAUCCCCAGACAUCAGAGAAGAACUCUACUGCUGCUCCUGUUGUCACUUUAACAGUCUGAGAAUCACAAAUCAAGAGACACAGAAGUUUGUUGUGUAGGAAAUAAGCAGGACUUACUCUCAACAAAAAUACCUUCAGGGUACAUUCACUCUGAUGCCCCAGGGAAACCACCAACAUAAACACUAAGCCAAGUCAGAUGGUCCUUCUUUUGAGAAACUGUUGCUCAAACAGUGAGUAGCUGGUCACCUGUUAUUAUCAGAUGAAAAGGCAAACCACUGGUUCACAGCCCUCAUUAUUGUCUAUACAUGUCACUUAUACACAGAACAUAUCUUCUUCCUUUCAAACGCUGUCAUUAAAUCUUCUCAAAGUCAACUAUCACAGUUCUGAAUGCUACUGGCCAUGGUAUACACAGGACAUAUGCCGGGUCUUAAGAUAAAAGAACAAUUGUUUUUGUGCAUAUGCCUACGGUUUUUCCCAGGAUUUUUUUUACAAUUGUUAGUUAACUGAGAUGGAAUUGAUUUAUAAGAAAAUGAUUUAUUUCACUCAUGGUUUUGAAGAUUGAGAAUCCAAAGGGCAUGGUGGAGGCUCUGGUCUUAUUAAAGAUGGACACUGGAAGAACAUCGAAGGCUCCCUUCUCAAACCAGGAAGCAGACAGCACAAAGAGCUGGUUCUGUUGCUUGCUUCAGCAACGUCCUCCAAAUAGAACCACAAAAGGGUCAUAUAAGAACCACUCUUGUCCCUUUUGAAAGCCCAGACCCAAGGACCUUCUGCCAGGUGGUAACAUAUCUCUUAAAGGUGUUACUUCAUCUCAUAAUACUAUCCCUUUGGGGUGAAAGUUUCUGAAUACUUAGACUGUCAGGAAGCAUGUAAACCAGGCCCAAGUCAUAGCAAUGUGACCCAGAAGGACAUAAAUAAACCCAGGGGACAGAAGAGGGAAGAAAAGAGAUGGAAAGUAAAUUGUGUAAGAAGGGUAUAAUGCAAUGUGUAAGGAGUAAAAAGUAUGGCAGAAGAUGAAACGUAGAACAGCAUGAUUCUGUCCUUAAAUUUGGAGUGUGUGCUUUGACAUCUUCAGGGGUGUAUCCAAAGGUACAAUGUUCAGAAUCCACUGUGUCAAGACCCAACAUCCUGGACACAAUCCAGGAGCAUCCCUUAAAUAAUCUCUCUCUCUCUCUCUCUCUCUCUCUCUCUCUCUCUCUCUCUCUCUCUCUCCCCACUGCUGUGCUGAGAAGUCACCAGUACUUUUAACAAGUGCAAAUGUGGAGAGGGGCAGUCCUCCUGGCUCUCCUGCAGGCUACCAUAGAAGAGCACAAACUUCGAGGUCACAUAAUGUCACAGAAGCCACCUGAGAUGGAUGUCAUCAGAAGAAACUGUAGAGUCACUAAGCCACCAGGUUGAGCUGUUAUCAACAAAGCCCAUAGUCACUGUGUUUCCUACAAAUACCUUGGUUCUCCAAGGAAGGGCAAUCUCACUUGGCUUAGUGUUUAUCGCAUUGGACAUCAUUUUCCACCAAAACAGGCUGAGCAGAACAUCCCCUGAAACCCCUUUGCACAGAAUGGUUAUUUCCUUGGAGGGGGAGACAGAGCUUGGUCCCUGAGUCUCCAAAGUCACACAGCCAAGGUAAAGUGUAGCCAGGGUUUGGCGGUUUCUUGCAUUAGCAACAGCAUGUCUCUAAUUCUUGCCCAGUGUUAAAGUUGUACUGAUUCACUCCCCUAGAGAACAGGUGUGAUUCAGAAGGAUUGGAGGGGGAAAAUGGUACCUAAACACCUAAACUCGCUCUUAAAACUACACAUUUAAUCCAGCAAAGACAAGGAGAAAUGUCUGGAGAAAAAGCAGGGCCACACUGAGCAGACACAUGGAUAAAAGUGGGAGGGGCAAGGUGCCUGGGAGAGCCAUCAUUAGUUCUGAAACAGCUGCGUUUAUUCACUUUGCUUUUUACCCAUCGGAUCAAUACCACAUAAACGUGAGAGAAUGGGAGACAAGAGGAAAAGGAGAGGGAGGUCAUGCAAAACUUGAGAUUUAAGCUGAAGUUCUAGAAACUGGAAACUUCUACAGCUGACGCAUGUAAACCUGGUGUGUCUUUGGGUAGCUAUUACAAGGCUGGAGGAUGUCAAAGACAGCUCUGGAACACCAUGGUUCUCUUCUGUUUGUUUUCUCUACCGUAAACUUAAGUACCAGACAGAAAAUUGCUUGAUAAUAAACAUGUAUUAUCACAAAAUAUAAUGUGUUCCUUCUCCUUUAUAAACAUACUGUCAGAAGUUCAAGCUACCUUUCAAACAGUUUGCUGUUUGAGAAUCAACCAUGUUCC
ensembl:lncRNA